rnacentral:rRNA from 1 species
UACGGAGGAUGCGAGCGUUAUCCGGAUUUAUUGGGUUUAAAGGGUGCGUAGGCGGGCCGUUAAGUCAGCGGUAAAAUUGCGGGGCUCAACCCCGUCGAGCCGUUGAAACUGGCAGACUUGAGUUGGCGAGAAGUACGCGGAAUGCGCGGUGUAGCGGUGAAAUGCAUAGAUAUCGCGCAGAACUCCGAUUGCGAAGGCAGCGUACCGGCGCCAGACUGACGCUGAGGCACGAAAGCGUGGGGAUCGAACAGG